rnacentral:rRNA from 1 species
GAUGAACGCUGGCGGCGUGCUUAACACAUGCAAGUCGAACGGUAAAGCCCAGCUUGCUGGGUUAAUUAGUGGCGAACGGGUGAGUAACACGUGAGUAACCUGCCCUUAACUCUAGUGUAAGCCUGGCAAACUGGGUCUAAGACCGUAUAGGAGCGGCCACCGCAUGGUGGGUGUUGGAAAGAUUUAUCGGUUUUGGAUGGACUCGCGGCCUAUCAGCUUGUUGGUGAGGGAAUGGCUCACCAAGGCGACGACGGGUAGCCGGCCUGAGAGGGUGACCGGCCACACUGGGACUGAGACACGGCCCAGACUCCUACGGGAGGCAGCAGUGGGGAAUAUUGCACAAUGGGCGAAAGCCUGAUGCAGCGACGCCGCGUGAGGGAUGACGGCCUUCGGGUUGUAAACCUCUUUCAGUAGGGAAGAAGCGAAAGUGACGGUACCUGAAGAAGAAGCACCGGCUAACUACGUG